rnacentral:pre_miRNA from 1 species
AACAGGUGAAGCUGCCACAUGAUCUGAUCUUUCCUUCAUGAGACCAGGGAAGUUGAGAUCACGCUGGCAGCUUCAACUGAU